AACGCUAGCUACAGGCUUAACACAUGCAAGUCGAGGGGAAACGACAUCGAAAGCUUGCUUUUGAUGGGCGUCGACCGGCGCACGGGUGAGUAACGCGUAUCCAACCUGCCCACCACUUGGGGAUAACCUUGCGAAAGUAAGACUAAUACCCAAUGAUAUCUCUAGAAGACAUCUGAAGGAGAUUAAAGAUUUAUCGGUGAUGGAUGGGGAUGCGUCUGAUUAGCUUGUUGGCGGGGUAACGGCCCACCAAGGCGACGAUCAGUAGGGGUUCUGAGAGGAAGGUCCCCCACAUUGGAACUGAGACACGGUCCAAACUCCUACGGGAGGCAGCAGUGAGGAAUAUUGGUCAAUGGACGAGAGUCUGAACCAGCCAAGUAGCGUGAAGGAUGACUGCCCUAUGGGUUGUAAACUUCUUUUAUAAAGGAAUAAAGUGGUCCACGUGUGGAUUUUUGUAUGUACUUUAUGAAUAAGGAUCGGCUAACUCCGUGCCAGCAGCCGCGGUAAUACGGAGGAUCCAAGCGUUAUCCGGAUUUAUUGGGUUUAAAGGGAGCGUAGAUGGAUUUUUAAGUCAGUUGUGAAAGUUCGGGGCUCAACCCCGUAAUUGCAGUUGAUACUGGAUAUCUUGAGUACAGUUGAGGUAGGCGGAAUUCGUGGUGUAGCGGUGAAAUGCUUAGAUAUCACGAAGAACUCCGAUUG
rnacentral:rRNA from 1 species